GGGGUAUAUGUCUUCGGAUAUAGAGACCGGCGCACGGGUGCGUAACGCGUAUGCAAUCUACCUUUUACAGGGGAAUAGCCCAGAGAAAUUUGGAUUAAUGCCCCAUAGUAUAAUUGAAUGGCAUCAUUUAAUUAUUAAAGUCACAACGGUAAAAGAUGAGCAUGCGUCCCAUUAGUUAGUUGGUAAGGUAACGGCUUACCAAGACAAUGAUGGGUAGGGGUCCUGAGAGGGAGAUCCCCCACACUGGUACUGAGACACGGACCAGACUCCUACGGGAGGCAGCAGUGAGGAAUAUUGGACAAUGGGCGCAAGCCUGAUCCAGCCAUGCCGCGUGCAGGAAGACGGUCCUAUGGAUUGUAAACUGCUUUUAUACAGGAAGAAACACUCCGACGUGUCGGAGCUUGACGGUACUGUAGGAAUAAGGAUCGGCUAACUCCGUGCCAGCAGCCGCGGUAAUACGGAGGAUCCAAGCGUUAUCCGGAAUCAUUGGGUUUAAAGGGUCCGUAGGCGGUUUAAUAAGUCAGUGGUGAAAUCUGGUCGCUCAACGAUCAAACGGCCAUUGAUACUGUUAGACUUGAAUUAUAAGGAAGUAACUAGAAUAUGUAGUGUAGCGGUGAAAUGCUUAGAUAUUACAUGGAAUACCAAUUGCGAAGGCAGGUUACUACUUAUGGAUUGACGCUGAUGGACGAAAGCGUGGGGAGCGAACAGGAUUAGAUACCCUGGUAGUCCACGCCGUAAACGAUGGAUACUAGCUGUUGGAAGCAAUUUCAGUGGCUAAGCGAAAGUGAUAAGUAUCCCACCUGGGGAGUACGU
rnacentral:rRNA from 1 species